UUUAAGAUAGUUUAUAAUUAAAAUAUUAUUUUUGGGUAAUAAAGAGCUCUGUAAAAGAGUCUUACUG
rnacentral:tRNA from 1 species